GAAUGAAGCACGUGUGAAUAGUAAAAUUGGAAUGAUACAGAUAAGGUUAGCAUGACUCUUGCAGCGAUGAUACUCACGAAAGGAUAAAUGAUCCGUAUUAUU
rfam:Capsicum annuum cultivar Zunla-1 chromosome 5, whole genome shotgun sequence